AGAUUUUCAUAGUGGGAUCGCUCGCUCAUCAGAGUAAAAGCACUAUGGCAUCGCUUAAUCGAAAAAGAUGGCACGAUGUUAUUUUAUUUCUUCUUGUAGCAUCUGCCAUUGGAUUCUCUUCGGGGCAUUUGACAUUGAGACAAGCAUUUUUAGCACACAAGACCGAAGAGACGAAAACAUCAACCACAACUCCAGGUCCAUCUAAUCCAGUGGAAACACAGACGACCCAGGAAUCUAUCGGAUUUGAAAGAGAAAGAAACAGGAUCGUGGUAGAUUUGCUCACGCCAAUUCCUCGCAGCGUCUGUCUUCUCACGCAACUGACAAGUACCAUGAGAAAUUUUUGACACGACUUUACAAGGAACUGAAAGAAAUCAGUCGUCGAUUCUCCAAUACGCCCACAGCUUCCACACUCCUCUCUUGCAGAUCAGUCUUAAGCUGAACAAUGCAUUUCUGGUCUCCAAUAUUUAUGGGUACAAAAUCAAAUUGCAUGGUGUAAUUGUCUCCAGCAAAGUAAAAGUAGUGCCGAGUAUUUGGAGAAAUUAGGAAAUUCCAGCAGAUUAAUUGAAUUCAUAUAUUUACCGUUGAAGGACUUGAAAGAGACCAACGACCAGACUUUGAAUCUCUCCAGUCAAAUAGCCGGCCAGUUUGGGGAGUUGGUCCAAUUAGUCGACGAACUAAGUAAGUCUCUCACUUUGAAAAUAGAGCAAGCAAUAAGAAACGCCACCGCUGAUUUUGAAAAUGAGAUUAGGGAUUUUAAACGGCAACAACUGUUGGAUGAGGCAGCAUUUAAUAAGCAGUUAGAUAACUUAAAAGAUUUGCAAGCUGACAAAUCUAAGUGUCAUUGGUUCAACUGGACUACUUGGAGAAAGGACAUUUGGUAUUGUCCCCCACCUGAUUCUUCCCGAAUUCGGCAGGCCAAUCAGUCAAUAACAAUAGCCAAAGAAAACUAGAAAAUACAAUGAAAUUACUUACUGAGAAAGAAGUGGAAGCAGCAAAGAAGAAAGAGGAUAAUAAUGAGUUGUUGAUGAGAAGACUGGAAAACACUGGCAGCACACUCAGUUGACUAAAAAACAAUUUAACAGAACUGGGCAAGAACUGGAACAAAUUGGUCUCCAUCUGUUAAAACAUUCAAUCUGGUGCUGGGAAGAGCCUUGACAUAAUCAAAGAAGCAAACCAUACCUCUACACUUUGGAGCAACCAUCUUUCCGAAAACAUUUCAUUCAACCUGAACAAGACAAAGGAAGAAUUGUCUCUGAUUGAAACUACCAUGAAUAUCUACCUAGAAGGAUCUGAUAAACACAUUAAGAAAACUGUCCUAGAAAUAGAAGAAAUAAUGACGAAGAGAGAAAACCCAGAAGCAGGAGUACUAUAGAGCGCAGUCUUCCAAGAAAAUGUGACAUGGAAACUAUGGUGAAAUAAAAAGUUAACGAAAAAGAACCAGGAUAACCUGAAACCCAGCACUAGCACUUCAAAACGAUAAAUAUAUAGUUUAAAAAUUGUGUUUUGAGAUUAUCACCGUCAAUUGUUAAAAUACGUGAUACGUGCCACUUCAUUAAAUAUAAAACUGUAGAUACAUUG
rnacentral:lncRNA from 1 species